AGAACGAACGCUGGCGGCAUGCCUAAUACAUGCAAGUCGAACGAACACUUCGGUGUUAGUGGCGCACGGGUGCGUAACGCGUGGGAAUCUGCCCUUGGGUUCGGAAUAACAGUUGGAAACGACUGCUAAUACCGGAUGAUAUCGAAAGAUCAAAGAUUUAUCGCCCAGGGAUGAGCCCGCGUAGGAUUAGCUAGUUGGUGAGGU
rnacentral:rRNA from 1 species